rnacentral:rRNA from 1 species
AGUGAACGCUGGCGGUAGGCCUAACACAUGCAAGUCGAACGGCAGCACAGUAAGAGCUUGCUCUUACGGGUGGCGAGUGGCGGACGGGUGAGGAAUACAUCGGAAUCUACUUUUUCGUGGGGGAUAACGUAGGGAAACUUACGCUAAUACCGCAUACGACCUACGGGUGAAAGCAGGGGAUCUUCGGACCUUGCGCGAUUGAAUGAGCCGAUGCCGGAUUAGCUAGUUGGCGGGGUAAAGGCCCACCAAGGCGACGAUCCGUAGCUGGUCUGAGAGGAUGAUCAGCCACACUGGAACUGAGACACGGUCCAGACUCCUACGGGAGGCAGCAGUGGGGAAUAUUGGACAAUGGGCGCAAGCCUGAUCCAGCCAUACCGCGUGGGUGAAGAAGGCCUUCGGGUUGUAAAGCCCUUUUGUUGGGAAAGAAAAGAAGCAGGUUAAUACCCCGCUGUUCUGACGGUACCCAAAGAAUAAGCACCGGCUAACUUCGUG